UGAUGUCCGAUUUAGUUGAAG
ensembl:piRNA 21ur-4527 ncRNA